rnacentral:rRNA from 1 species
GACGAACCGUGCGAACGUUAUUCGGAAUCACUGGGCUUAAAGCGUGCGCAGGCGGUUCGCUGUGUCGGCGGUGAAAGCCCCGGGCUCAACCUGGGAAUGGCCGUUGAAACUGGCGAACUGGAGUGUGGCAGAGGGGGGUGGAAGUUCCGCGUGUAGCAGUGAAAUGCGUAGAGAUGCGGAGGAACACCGAUGGCGAAGGCAGCCCCCUGGGCUGACACUGACGCCUCAGGCGA